rnacentral:rRNA from 1 species
AGCGAACGCUGGCGGCAGGCCUAACACAUGCAAGUCGAACGAAAAUUUCGGUGUUAGUGGCGGACGGGUGAGCAACACGUUGGCACGUGCCUUUACUUUCGGACAAACUCAGGGAAACUUGUGCUAAUACCGCAUGUGCCCUUUGGGGGAACGCUUUAUCUGCUUUAGAGUGGCCCGCGUUUGCUUAGCUGGUUGGUUGAGGUAAUGGCCCACCGAUGGGACGUUCAGUAGCUGGUCGGGGCGGAUGAUCAGCCACAUUGGGACUGAGGCACAGCCCAAACUGCGACGAGAGGCAGCAGUGGGGUAUCUUGCGCAAUGAGCGAAAGUCUAGCGCAGCCAUGCCGGGGGAAUGGGGAAGGUCUUAGGAUUGUAAAAUUCUUUCGGCGGGAACGAUAGUGACGGUACCCGGAGAAGAAGCCCCGGCUAACUUCGUG